CAGUUAUGGUUCCUUAGAUCGUACCCACGUUACUUGGAUAACUGUGGUAAUUCUAGAGCUAAUACAUGCCGACAGAGUUCCGACCAACUGUACAGAUGUGCGACGGCCUCGGUCGUAGUCGCUGUACGGUACGGAAGGAACGCUUUUAUUAGAUCAAAACCGGCCAGACGGCGUAGCGCGUCUACGUCGUAAGCGGCCCGCGCAAAGACUUGGUGACCUCCGAACAACCUUCCAGCUGAUCGCACGGUCCUCGUACCGGCGACGUAUCUUUCAAAUGUCUGCCUUAUCAACUGUCGACGGUAGGUUCGACGCCUACCGUGGUGGUAACGGGUAACGGGGAAUCAGGGUUCGAUUCCGGAGAGGGAGCCUGAGAAACGGCUACCACAUCCAAGGAAGGCAGCACGCGCGCAAAUUACCCACUCCCAGCUCGGGGAGGUAGUGACGAAAAUAACAUACGAACUCAUUAGAGGCCCGUAAUCGGAAUGAGUACACUUUA
rnacentral:rRNA from 1 species